UCAUCAGGUAGGAUAAUUCUUACUCAUUCCUCUAUACAGAGGAAAGAUCAAACAUAAUGAUUGGACUUUGCAUGAUUCGCAAUUAAUGUCUUUGUGUAAUAGGGUUUGCAACACCCUAAUAUCUAUGGUCUGAA